rnacentral:rRNA from 1 species
AAAGGAAGCGAUUCCGGCGGGGGAUGGGCAUGCGGCGCAUUAGCUAGUCGGCGGGGUAACGGCCCACCGAGGCGACGAUGCGUAGGGGUUCUGAGAGGAAGGUCCCCCACACUGGUACUGAGACACGGACCAGACUCCUACGGGAGGCAGCAGUGAGGAAUAUUGGUCAAUGGGCGGGAGCCUGAACCAGCCAAGUCGCGUGAGGGAAGACGGUCCUACGGAUUGUAAACCUCUUUUGCCGGGGAGCAACGGGGUCCUUGCGAGGGCCCAAUGAGAGUACCCGGAGAAAAAGCAUCGGCUAACUCCGUGCCAGCAGCCGCGGUAAUACGGAGGAUGCGAGCGUUAUCCGGAUUUAUUGGGUUUAAAGGGUGCGUAGGCGGGCUGUUAAGUCAGCGGUCAAAUGUCGGGGCUCAACCCCGGCCUGCCGUUGAAACUGGCGGCCUCGAGUGGGCGAGAAGUAUGCGGAAUGCGUGGUGUAGCGGUGAAAUGCAUAGAUAUCACGCAGAACUCCGAUUGCGAAGGCAGCAUACCGGCGCCCGACUGACGCUGAGGCACGAAAGCGUGGGUAUCGAACAGGAUUAGAUACCCUGGUAGUCCACGCAGUAAACGAUGAAUGCUAGCUGUCCGGGACUUCGGUCCUGG